rnacentral:rRNA from 1 species
CCUACGGGAGGCAGCAGUGAGGAAUAUUGGUCAAUGGGCUUACGCCUGAACCAGCCAAGUCGCGUGAGGGAAGACUGCCCUAUGGGUUGUAAACCUCUUUUGUCAGGGAGCAACUUGCGCUACGUGUAGCGUUAUCGAUAGCACCUGAAGAAAAAGCAUCGGCAAACUCCGUGCCAGCAGCCGCGGUAUUACGGAGGAUGCGAGCGUGCGCCGGAUUCAUUGGGUUUAAAGGGUGCGUAGGCGGAAUGCCAAGUCAGCGGUAAAAUCGCGGGGCUCAACCUCGAUCCGCCGUUGAAACUGGCGGUCUUGAGUGGGCGAGAGGUAUGCGGAAUGCGUGGUGUAGCGGUGAAAUGCAUAGAUAUCACGCAGAACUCCGAUUGCGAAGGCAGCAUACCGGCGCCCAACUGACGCUGAGGCACGAAAGCGUGGGUAUCGAACAGGAUUAGAUACCCUGGUAGUC